GCUUUUCAAGUGUAAACCUACUGCUGUCUAUGAUAUUCCUGAUAUUGGGCAUAAAUCUAUAGAAUGAGAAAAUAGUAUGUAAUGAAUGAACUUUAAUUAAAAAUCAGUAUAAACUUAAAACAUCCCUAUGCUAGCAUGGCAUGGUUUUAAUGACGUGUAAGGGAUGUAGGUCGGUCCUUCUUGCUGUCUGACUUAGUCCCAGCCAUCGCCCUAGGUGUUCAUAGCACCUUUGCUUUUGUGCUUCCUGGGAUACAUCAGUGUUUCGUGGACCUUUCUCUGACAGUGGUGCAAGAACGUCAUGGAAGGAUACAUGAACCCACUGAGGAAGGAAGGGACUUUUUAAAUUUUGCCUCAAGUAAACUAAGUGUGUACAGUGUUUCUCCUUAUACAUGAUGCUGUGUUAGUGUUUGGGUAGUAUUACAGCGAGAAGAUGGAGAGGAAGCGGUGAGGCUUGGAGACGGCAGGCCAGCCUGUGACACGCCGGGCAGCUAUUUGGCUUUGUCAUUUCAAUGGACGGUGUGACUGAUACCUGUACUAUUAAAUAGGCUGAUUUGGUUUUUUUUUUGGCCUAAAUCAUUAUUGAAGAAAUAUCCUCCCCCAGCUUUAAAGUUACAGUCCUGAGCUACAUAAUUGGGAUUACCACUGGGCUGACUGAAUGAAUGCCCUGCCACCCGGGAACUGGGGUUUAUGACGUCCGAGGGCUCAGUCACAUCACCACUCUCGUCCUUCCCAUCAGUGGACCAUCUCCUUGACUGUUGACAACAGUCAGACUACCUGCCGUGACCGACUGCCGUGAGACUGUUGUGACAGCCAUUGUCAGGACCGGUCCUGUACAUGGUGUAUGGGUGGCAGGAUACAAGAAGUCGAUGUGGAAUCAUUGUGCAUUUUUAUUUGUAAAAGUUUAUAUCCAGUAUUGACAGUGGAACAGUUUGGAACAGUAUUGAUAUUUGGAACAGUUUUCCAAAACAGAAUCAUCUGAAAUGAGGCAGAGACCGAGACACUACUGCGGCCUUCCCCACAGUGCUGAGUGUACUAUAGUGCAUUAGAGACGGCCACUUCUCAGACAGGGAAGACCCAGAAAGGGACUGCACUGCACCGGGAAUGAGGAACUGGUGACAGAAAGUAGUUCCUAGCUGGGUGGUGGCUCAUGCCUUUAAUCCCAGCCUUGGGAGGCAAAGGCAGGCGGAUCUUUGUGAGAUCGAAGCUAGUCUGGUCUACAGAGCAAGUUCUAGGACAGCCAGGGCUACAUAGAGAAACUCUGUCUCAAAAGCCACCACCACUACCAACAAAAAGCAGACCCCGCUGCACUGACACGUAUUUAAGGAGUGAAGAUGGAGUUAGAGUCAGUUUGAUGGGGUGAAUCCCAUAUCCGCCUGGGAUUCUGGGAGUCAGGCCGCAAGUCUUGCUUUAAAUGCUAACAUCUGUUGUUACUCACAUUCUCUAUAAAGAUAUAAAAUUAUAUUUUAAAGACUUUUAUGUAUCAGAGCUAUAGGUUUUUAAAGUGGAGAAAUGCCCAAAUAAAUUGUUAAAUUACAAUAUAUAAUAGGUGCUUUCAAAUUAAGGUUUUUUAAAGUUAUAAUAAUCUAAAUAGCCCACUAAUCUGAUCUUUGUAAAUUGUCCCACGAUUCUGGUUACUCUUAAGGUGUUUUUUGAGUUUUUGAAAGUUUACCUAGGUUGUACAAUAUCUUCCUGUGCUGUUUAGAUCUCUGUUGCAUACAUGCUGUUCUCGUGUCUGUGCUCUUAGAGCUUUAGAGGUCAGCUGAAAAUACGGAGUGCAGCUCUUGUGUAUGAUCCCACACUGAUCGAGUAGACUGCCAGUCACCUCAUUCAGAACAUAGGUCUGGGUUUGUACAGUAGGGGACUAAAAAUCAAAGUUCAGAAACUCACGAAGUGU
rnacentral:lncRNA from 1 species